GACGAACGCUGGCGGCGUGCCUAAUACAUGCAAGUAGAACGCUGAAGGAGGAGCUUGCUUCUCUGGAUGAGUUGCGAACGGGUGAGUAACGCGUAGGUAACCUGCCUGGUAGCGGGGGAUAACUAUUGGAAACGAUAGCUAAUACCGCAUAAGAGUAGAUGUCGCAUGACAUUUGCUUAAAAGGUGCAAUUGCAUCACUACCAGAUGGACCUGCGUUGUAUUAGCUAGUUGGUGGGGUAACGGCUCACCAAGGCGACGAUACAUAGCCGACCUGAGAGGGUGAUCGGCCACACUGGGACUGAGACACGGCCCAGACUCCUACGGGAGGCAGCAGUAGGGAAUCUUCGGCAAUGGACGGAAGUCUGACCGAGCAACGCCGCGUGAGUGAAGAAGGUUUUCGGAUCGUAAAGCUCUGUUGUAAGAGAAGAACGAGUGUGAGAGUGGAAAGUUCACGCGGGGACGGUAUCUACCAGAA
rnacentral:rRNA from 1 species